rnacentral:rRNA from 1 species
AGGACGAACGCUGGCGGCGUGCCUAAUACAUGCAAGUCUAAGGGGUUUAUUUCCUUCGGGGAAUAAAUCACUGGCGCACGGGUGAGUAACGCGUAAGUAAUCUGCCCCCUGGGUCUGGCAUAACCUCGGGAAACCGGGACUAAUUCCAGAUGAUACCGAAAGGUCAAAGAAUUUCGCCCAGGGAUGAGCUUGCGUCUGAUUAGCUAGUUGGCGGGGUAAUGGCCCACCAAGGCGACGAUCAGUAGCCGGUCUGAGAGGAUGAUCGGCCACAUUGGGACUGAGACACGGCCCCAGACUCCGUACGGGAGGCAGCAGUAAAGGAAUAGUUGCGACAAUGGGAACGAAAGUCUAGACGCAGCAACGCCGCGUGCAGGA